UCAUUGAUUUUGAGAGGCCUUGCCCCCCAACUACGUUACAAGUUUAGUAUGGACUAAUGUAUAAUAUAAAAGUACCCAAAAUAGAAACCCCUUGCUAAUAUAGUCAAACACCUAUUUUACGAUUUUAUAAUAGUUUACUGAUUUACAUUCAUACUUUUUCACAUGAAAACUCAGGUUCACGACAAUAUUCUUGUGUACCAUGUGCUCUUGUAUGUCAAGGACAUAGCUACAUAUGAUAUGCCGAGUCAUCAAAGCAAUCAUGGCUGGUUGAUAUUUUUUCAGAACUGACAGUGCGAAAGUAGAUAUUGCCAUGAAAAGGCGAAAUUUUGGACAAGAAGCAAGGGUUCCAACAAGGGUCCCAUUUGAAAUUCAGGGAAUUCACGAUUUGCCUAGUGAAACCAUGCAUGAAUGAUGCCUAAUUGAACCAUAGACAUGAGGGAAUGAUGACCGGGCUGCUGACGCAGCUAAAUAACAAUCUUGCGAUGUUUUCCGCUCAAGCGUAAUCCCUGAAGUCCAUAAGGUACAUUGCAGCUUGGAUUCGGAGUAACUUUUUGGAUUUGACCCUAAUCUCUACAUCCAUUCAAUGCCUUCGUAGGGCAAAUGUACUAGGAGUCCUGGGAUUUGAAGUUUUGAAAUGUUCUGAAGAUAUUAAACUACGGGUGCGUGCAGGUGUCAAUACUUGGCCGAAUCCACUGAAGGCUCUUUCUACGCUCACUUGGGUGCAUGGUACAGCAAGGGCAACAAAAGCCAACCGGUGUAGAUCAGGGUAAUCGUGCUUGUUCUGCUCCCACCAGUGCAAGAUAUUCGUAUCCAAUGGAAGCCGUUCCAGUACACUGAACUUCCGAAGCUGAUUUGUGAUGUCAGCGCAGCUCGAGAGCGAUUUUGGCUUUGUGUUACGCUGAAGCAUUUGUUCAAGGCGGCUGGUCUUACCGCUCGGUAUGACUGGAGUCGACGGUCCUGUGGUUGUAGAGCAUGUAGGUUCAUCACCUCCUUUUAUUCCACUGUUCAUUGCUUUCCAUGUUUUCAGAAGAUGCUCCUGUUAAAAAAGUGUUUUGAAAUUUAAAUAUCCAAGACCCAAAUCCAUGCAUACAAACCAUUCCACGUUUCUGUUGAUCUUCGGUCAAAAAUGGAGUACCGUUGUAAUUGAUCCUUCUAUCCAGAUACGCUGCGGCCCAAAACGCAUCGUUAUCGAAGCAACUCGAUUCGCGCUUAUCCAUCGCCGUUACAAGUCCACCAGCAAGCGCAUGAUCAAUUUCCUGUAGCUCAAGA